rnacentral:rRNA from 1 species
CGUACACUCCUGCGGGAGGCAGCAGUGGGGAAUAUUGCACAAUGGGCGCAAGCCUGAUGCAGCCAUGCCGCGUGUAUGAAGAAGGCCUUCGGGUUGUAAAGUACUUUCAGCGGGGAGGAAGGCGAUAAGGUUAAUAACCUUGUCGAUUGACGUUACCCGCAGAAGAAGCACCGGCUAACUCCGUGCCAGCAGCCGCGGUAAUACGGAGGGUGCAAGCGUUAAUCGGAAUUACUGGGCGUAAAGCGCACGCAGGCGGUCCGUCAAGUCGGAUGUGAAAUCCCCGGGCUCAACCUGGGAACUGCAUUCGAAACUGGCAGGCUAGAGUCUUGUAGAGGGGGGUAGAAUUCCAGGUGUAGCGGUGAAAUGCGUAGAGAUCUGGAGGAAUACCGGUGGCGAAGGCGGCCCCCUGGACAAAGACUGACGCUCAGGUGCGAAAGCGUGGGGAGCAAACAGGAUUAGAAACCCCGGUAGUCCCAUG